GAAUUAUAUAUAAUUAUUGUAGUUUAUCCUUAUCUCUGUUUCACGGAGAGGUAAAUGAUGACCAGGGAGUUACAAAGCUUCAUAAGUUUCUCGGAAUGUGUAUUGGAGAAAAAAUAACAGAGUCUGGCUAAAGAGAUGAAGAGCUCAUGAGGGCGUGUCUCAAUUUAAACAAGAGUAGCAUUGGCAAUUGUUGUCCUUAGCAGCAGCCGACAAGGCGGAAUUGGAAUGGUGCUGCUCCUGACUACCUCUACUCCACGCUAGGCUUAGGGGCUGGAGUGACCCAAGCCCUCAGGGACCUGCAGCGGCUGAAGUCCUCUCAGCACCUGCAAUAUCCCAGAGGGCAAAGACAGGGCCAAAUACUGGAUUCUGGAUUCUCUUCAUUGUUGUCCCCCUGCAAGUGGAGAGGUAUCCAGGCUGGGCCUUGUCCUAAGAUAUGACGGAACUGAAUUCUUCCAGCAAGCAUGUGAGCUUGGAAGAGAACACCAUGCGCCACACGAGAAUGCAUACUGGCCAACACCCUGUGCAAAGAUCCAGAGAAGCUGUGCUCAGACUCCUGACUCAUGAAAAUAGUGAACUUAUAAAUGUAUAUUGUUUUAAGAUGCUAAAUUUGUGGUGAUGUGUUACAUGGCAAUAGAAAACUAAUAGAGAUAAAACUUGACAUUUGAAGUGCAUCACAUAAUGAAAUUAGUAGAUGAGAAUCUCUCUAGAAACAAGUAAAAUUUUGAGUUAAAAUGAGAGACUGGACAUAUAAUUCCUCCUCCCUCCAAAAUCCCAGGAAAUGAGUAGUUAAAAAAAUUUUUUUUUAAUUUUACAAGAUAAGAACAACAAGCAGAGAUACUUGAAGUAGGGGCUGGUUCUUCUUCACUCCCUUUGUUAUAUAACUGAACUUCCUCACACUUGAGAAGUACAUUUCCCUGCUCCUUGACUUUCAACUCAGCCAUGUGGCUUGCUUUGGCCAAUGAGUUAUAGGUAGACGUGAUGUGACCAGAGGUUUAGAACUCAUCACUGAUCUUGAAACCACCUUUGCAAAAUUAUGACUGAGACAGUGAAACAGAUCUAACUUAGCCAACUCCGUCUUCUUCCAACCUGCAGGCUGUGCUUGUUCAUUCUGGGUGUAGGCUGAACUAACUUUGGGAGAAACUUAGUUUAUAGUUUAAAACAAAGAUGAUAACAGCCCUUUCCCAAAGCAGACCUUCUUCUUGCCUGGGGACUAGAUUGCCUUUGUAGGACUGACAGUAGCCACGAGAUUAGAAAUUAUGAUUUAGGAAUCGUGCAGCUGGAGGCUACAAGAUUCUGACCCUCCCUAAAUUGCUCCUAAGAUCAAUGCUUGAGAUAUUUUGCAGACCCUGCACUUGAUGGCACCACUCAGAUCAAUAAACUGGCUCAUCUGAUCUUGUGGCCCCUUACCCAGGAACUGACUCAUCACAAGAAGACAGCUUCAACUCCCUAUGAUUUCAUCUUUGACCAAUCAGCACUCCUGGCUCACCGGCUUCCCACACACCCACCAAGUUGUUCUUAAAAACUCUGCUCUCCGAAUGCUCGGGGAGACUGAUUUGAGUAAUAAUAAAACUCUGUUCUCCCACACAGCCGGCUCUGUGUGAAUAACUCUUUCUCUAUUGCAAUUCCCCUGUCUUGAUAAAUUGUCUCAGUCUAGGCAGCAGGCAAGGUGAGCCCACUGUGCAGUUACAAUCUUGCCUUUUAUGCUUCUACCAUCACUAUGUGAAGAGCUGCACUGGCUAGCAUUCUGGUCCAAUUGGAGUGGGAAAGACAUUGAGUAGAUCUGGACAACCUGCUGCUUAGAACAUAUCCCAGCUAAGCUCAACAUGGAUUAAAUGACCCCAGGUUAAUGUGCAAACAUCUGAGAGAAAAUAAAUGAUUGUUUUCUUAAGCCACCAAUAUUUUCAGUUGUUAUUCAGUAACAUUGUGAAAAGAGGUGACUAAUACAAGAGAAGAAACAACAGUAAAAAAAAUUUGGACGUGUAAAAGCAGAUGGUAAUGUCCACUUUCAUUUCUGACAGUAUAACAUAUCAAAACUAAUGCCAGUUCUAGAACUGAGACAUAAAACAUCUAAAAUUAAAAAUGUAAUAGGUGGUUUUGAAAGCGGAGAAGAGGAUUAUUGAAUUGGAA
rnacentral:lncRNA from 10 species